GGAAUAUUGGUCAAUGGAGGCAACUCUGAACCAGCCAUGCCGCGUGCAGGAAGACGGCCCUAUGGGUUGUAAACUGCUUUUAUCUGGGAAUAAACCUUUUUACGUGUAAGAAGCUGAAUGUACCAGAAGAAUAAGGAUCGGCUAACUCCGUGCCAGCAGCCGCGGUAAUACGGAGGAUCCAAGCGUUAUCCGGAUUUAUUGGGUUUAAAGGGUGCGUAGGCGGCCUGUUAAGUCAGAGGUGAAAGACGGUAGCUCAACUAUCGCAGUGCCUUUGAUACUGACGGGCUUGAAUAAACUAGAGGUAGGCGGAAUGAGACAAGUAGCGGUGAAAUGCAUAGAUAUGUCUCAGAACACCGAUUGCGAAGGCAGCUUACUAUGGUUUUAUUGACGCUGAGGCGCGAAAGCGUGGGGAUCAAACAGGAUUAGAUACCCUUG
rnacentral:rRNA from 1 species